UAAGAGUAGGUGUUAAUCAUGUGGCACAUUGAAUUUUGAUUUCAAAGGGGGAGGUUCAAUGUUCUUCACUCAUAA
rnacentral:tRNA from 1 species